AGUUAGAAUCAGGUUCUAGAUAUACGUUUUACGUUGUGUGAGUUGUGGGAAGAACUAUUUCAUACGCUGCUUGUAAUCAAGUGGGUGUUUUCACACUUGAGGUUUAGUCUAAUGGACAGGUAGAUGGUACCUUGUGUAGAGAACAAGCUCAACAACUUGAACGUUGUUUACACACCGUGGUACAACCUGAGGAAGACUCAAAGCAUGGACGUUGGCCAAGUUGGCUUCCACAACUCUAAGUUUGUGCGGACAGUCAGGGUUGAGACACCCAAGAACGAAAUCGUGAAUCGGUUGAACAAGACCAAUACCGAAGAAACACCAGACUUGAAAGAUGCAGUUGUUUCCGUGUCUUUGAUCUAUUUACAGUGUUUUGUUCUGCUAGCUAACACAUUUUGUACAAAUCAAAGUGCCUCCUUUUGAUGCCAAUCAUAGACAUGCUCGGUGAAUAUGCUGAAUGCAGCUGAAAGGGAGGCCUACAACGCUGCAGAGAGAAAUGAACGGAAGGCACUUCUCAAGGACAAGAAUCGUCGAGAAGAAAUAGAGCGGCUGGAAAAAGAGAAGCAGGCAGAAAUGCGGAGCUACACAAAACUCAUGGUUCAGGAUAAGAUAUCUAACAAGGAUAUUGCUGCUAAGGGAAAAUCUUUGGCGGAGUUGGAAAAGGAUUUCAUGUGACUUUUCUUCAUUGUUUAAUGUAGUUAAUACUAUUGUCAUUGUGCAGCCUGUCCUCUUUCAAUUUCAAAUGGAAUGUUGUUCUAUACUUUCAUGGAUGAGAAAGCUUGGCGCGUAAGCCUUUACGUCUCAGUUUCCUCAAGGUCUGAGAGAAUCGGAUCGUCUAAGUGAGGAUGUCACCGGGAUGUAUCAGCAAACUUGUGAGACACAGGAGCGUUGAUGAUGCAAGUGGGAAAUGUGACGACAUUCUUUUCCUAGGCCAUCAAACUUGGGACAAUUCUGUCGAUUCAGUUCAGAUACCCUCGUUAUACUGAUAUGAAUAGUAUUUAUAGAAUCACGUCUACAUUUUGCCUCCAGAGACUAAUGAAGAUGUAUACAGCGGAAGACAAUUUCUUGGCAUUUCCUUCUUCUCCCCGCUGUUUAAAUGACAGUGACAUGACAAAAUCUUUUUCUGCAAAUGAGAUUUGAUGACCCAAAUUCAUAUUGGGAUAUUUUGAAUCGACUUUGAAACUUAGAAAUUCAGAUUUGAUUUCCAAUUAGUCAUCACCAACUCGCAAGGAUGUGCUGCUGAACGGUCUGAGAGUAAACACUCACACAAAUUAAGGGUUGUUGCAUUUCAGUGAU